UGUCCGUAACUUAGGGAAAAGGACUGCCACUGGUUGUGAGGGCGACUAGCUUGUCUGAGCGAUUGGUGGUCGCAGCGAAAUGGCUCUGCCGACUGUUUAACAAAAACACAGGUCUCUGCGAAAGCGAAAGCUGACGUAUAGGGGCUGACGCCUGCCCAGUGCCGGAAGGUUAAGGGGAGAUGUGAUGAGCAUUGAACCGAAGCCCCGGUGAACGGCGGCCGUAACUAUAACGGUCCUAAGGUAGCGAAAUUCCUUGUCGGGUAAGUUCCGACCCGCACGAAAGGCGUAACGAGCAGAGCACUGUCUCAACAAGGGACCCGGCGAAGUUGAAAUAGCGGUGAAGAUGCCGUUUACCCGCAGCAGGACAAAAAGACCCCGUGGAGCUUUACUGUAGCUUGACAUUGAGUUAGGGCUUUGUCUGUGUAGGAUAGGUGUGAGGCUGUGAAGCUGGUCCGCUAGGAUCGGUGGAGUCGACGUUGAAAUACCACCCUGAUGGAGUCUUGGCUCUAACCUGUGGCCCUAAUCGGGCAUGGGGACAGUGUCUGGUAGGCAGUUUGACUGGGGCGGUCGCCUCCUAAAGAGUAACGGAGGCGCCCAAAGGUUCCCUCAGGCUGAAUGGAAACCAGCCGCAGAGUGUAAAGGCAUAAGGGAGCUUGACUGCGAGACAAACAAGUCGAGCAGAGACGAAAGUCGGGCUUAGUGAUCCUACGGUUCCGAGUGGAAGGGCCGUGGCUUAACGGACAAAAGCUACCCCGGGGAUAACAGGCUGAUCUCCUCCAAGAGUUCACAUCGACGAGGAGGUUUGGCACCUCGAUGUCGGCUCGUCGCAUCCUGGGGCUGAAGUAGGUCCCAAGGGUCCGGCUGUUCGCCGGUUAAAGCGGUACGCGAGCUGGGUUCAGACCGUCGUGAGACAGGUCGGUCUCUAUCCGCUGUGGGCGAAGGGGAUUUGAGAGGGGCUGCCCCUAGUACGAGAGGACCGGGGUGGACAGACCGCUGGUGUACCAGUUGUCUCGCCAGAGGCAUGGCUGGGUAGCUAAGUCUGGCAGCGAUAACCGCUGAAAGCAUCUAAGUGGGAAACGCGCCUCAAGAUGAGAUCCCCCACUGUAAAAGGGUAAGUGCACCGGGAGACUACCGGUUAGAUAGGCGGCAGGUGUACGCACUGUGAGGUGUUGAGCCGAGCCGUACUAAUGCACGAGGACUUA
rnacentral:rRNA from 1 species